rnacentral:rRNA from 1 species
CGGUUGGCCGGUCUACGGGGGCCGCAAGUUGGGGACCCAGUAGGACUCCGCAACCGUCUGGGAGGCCGUCAGAAGGGUUCUGGUAGGAAGCCUCCUCGUGGGGUGGACUCCGGGAUUUCCGGGCGGUCCUCUCGGCCGUAAACCUGAAUUCUGCCGUCGGUUCUGGGGACGAGCUCUUCACGGGGCUGUCGGUUCUCGGUUCCGUUGCGGGGGAUGCCGCGGAGAGUAGAGUCGGGUCCCACCCGACCCGUCUUGGAACACGGACCAAGGAGUCUAACAUGUGCGCGAGUCGUCGGGUUUGACUAAACCCGAAGGCGCAAUGAAAGUGAAGACCGUCCUCGUUGGCGUGUCUAGGGGAGAUCCCGUCCUGCUCCGGUAGCUCGGGCGCAUCCCCGGGGCGUCGAAGCCGCGUUGCCGGCUAGACGAACCAAGAGCGUACACGUUGGGACCCGAAAGAUGGUGACCUAUGCCUGGCCAGGACGAAGCCAGGGGAAACCCUGGUGGAGGUCCGCAGCGAUUCUGACGUGCAAAUCGAUCGUCGGAGUUGGGUAUA